rnacentral:rRNA from 1 species
CCAUGCCGCGUGUGUGAAGAAGGCCUUAUGGUUGUAAAGCACUUUAAGCGAGGAGGAGGCUACUGAGACUAAUACUCUUGGAUAGUGGACGUUACUCGCAGAAUAAGCACCGGCUAACUCUGUGCCAGCAGCCGCGGUAAUACAGAGGGUGCGAGCGUUAAUCGGAUUUACUGGGCGUAAAGCGUGCGUAGGCGGCUUUUUAAGUCGGAUGUGAAAUCCCCGAGCUUAACUUGGGAAUUGCAUUCGAUACUGGGAAGCUAGAGUAUGGGAGAGGAUGGUAGAAUUCCAGGUGUAGCGGUGAAAUGCGUAGAGAUCUGGAGGAAUACCGAUGGCGAAGGCAGCCAUCUGGCCUAAUACUGACGCUGAGGUACGAAAGCAUGGGGAGCAAACAGGAUUAGAUACCCUGGUAGUCCAUGCCGUAAACGAUGUCUACUAGCCGUUGGGGCCUUUGAGGCUUUAGUGGCGCAGCUAACGCGAUAAGUAGACCGCCUGGGGAGUACGGUCGCAAGACUAAAACUCAAAUGAAUUGACGGGGGCCCGCACAAGCGGUGGAGCAUGUGGUUUAAUUCGAUGCAACGCGAAGAACCUUACCUGGCCUUGACAUACUAGAAACUUUCCAGAGAUGGAUUGGUGCCUUCGGGAAUCUAGAUACAGGUGCUGCAUGGCUGUCGUCAGCUCGUGUCGUGAGAUGUUGGGUUAAGUCCCGCAACGAGCGCAACCCUUUUCCUUACUUGCCAGCAUUUCGGAUGGGAACUUUAAGGAUACUGCCCAGUGACAAACUGGAGGAAGGCGGGGACGACGUCAGUCAUCAUGGCCCUUACGGCCAGGGCUACACACGUGCUACAAAUGGUCGGUACAAAGGGGUUGCUACACAGCGAUGUGAUGCUAAUCUCAAAAAGCCCGAUCGUAGUCCGGAUUGGAGUCUGCCACUCGACUCCAUGAAGUCGGAAUCGCUAGUAAUCGCGGAUCAGAUUGGCGCGGUGAAUACGUUUCCCGGGCCUU